rnacentral:rRNA from 1 species
AGUGAACGCUGGCGGUAGGCCUAACACAUGCAAGUCGAACGGCAGCACAGGAGAGCUUGCUCUCUGGGUGGCGAGUGGCGGACGGGUGAGGAAUACAUCGGAAUCUACUUUUUCGUGGGGGAUAACGUAGGGAAACUUACGCUAAUACCGCAUACGACCUACGGGUGAAAGCAGGGGAUCUUCGGACCUUGCGCGAUUGAAUGAGCCGAUGUCGGAUUAGCUAGUAGGAGGGGUAAAGGCCCACCAAGGCGACGAUCCGUAGCUGGUCUGAGAGGAUGAACAGCCACACUGGAACUGAAACACGGUCCAGACUCCUACGGGAGGCAGCAGUGGGGAAUAUUGGACAAUGGGCGCAAGCCUGAUCCAGCCAUACCGCGUGGGUGAAGAAGGCCUUCGGGAUGUAAAGCCCUUUUGUUGGGAAAGAAAUCCAGCUGGUUAAUACCCGGUUGGGAUGACGGUACCCAAAGAAUAAGCACCGACUAACUUCGUGCCAGCCGCCGCAGUAA